rnacentral:rRNA from 1 species
CCUACGGGAGGCAGCAGGGAGGAAUAUUGGUCAAUGGACGAGAGUCGGAACCAGCCAAGUAGCGUGAAGGAUGACUGCCCUAUGGGGUGUAAACUUCUUUUAUAAAGGAAUAAAACGAGGCACGUGUGCCUUUUUGCAUGUACUUUAUGAAUAAGGAUCGGCUAACUCCGUGCCAGCAGCCGCGGUAAGACGGAGGAGCCGAGCGUUAUCCGGAUUUAUUGGGUUUAAAGGGAGCGUAGAUGGGUUGUUAAGUCAGUUGUGACAGUUUGCGGCUCAACCGGAAAAUUGCAAUUGAUACUGGCAGUCUUUAGUACAGUUUAGGUAGGCGGACUUCUUGUUGUAGCGG